rnacentral:rRNA from 1 species
AGGGCGAAAAGGUUGCAAUAAACUGGUGGCUGCGACUGUUUAAUAAAAACACAGCACUCUGCAAACACGAAAGUGGACGUAUAGGGUGUGACGCCUGCCCGGUGCUGGAAGAUUAAAUGAUGGGGUGCAAGCUCUUGAUUGAAGUCCCAGUAAACGGCGGCCGUAACUAUAACGGUCCUAAGGUAGCGAAAUUCCUUGUCGGGUAAGUUCCGACCUGCACGAAUGGCGUAACGAUGGCCACACUGUCUCCUCCCGAGACUCAGCGAAGUUGAAGUGUUUGUGAUGAUGCAAUCUACCCGCGGCUAGACGGAAAGACCCCAUGAACCUUUACUGUAGCUUUGCAUUGGACUUUGAACCAAUCUGUGUAGGAUAGGUGGGAGGCUUUGAAGUAGGGACGCCAGUUCCUAUGGAGCCAUCCUUGAAAUACCACCCUGGUUUGUUUGAGGUUCUAACCUUGGUCCGU